rnacentral:antisense_RNA from 1 species
CUUCAGAGAGCCGAGCCACAGCGGCGUCUCACGGUUCUUGCCGUACGUGGCCAGCAGGGCCUGCGCCUC